CUGAAUAGGAAAUAAAAGCUGGUGGGACCCAAGGUCCCCUAGGGAGACAGUAGGAGCUGGGCGCUGCUCCAAAGUCUGGAGGCCCAUUCUAUGCUCUGUUGGUCUCCUGAAGGGACUCAGUGAAUUCUUGGAGGAGACACCUUGCAACACGUUCCUGUGCAAAUCCUGCAGGAAAUCUAGGGGUUCUCCCUGGACUUGGUUGGCUUUAACCCCUUCUCCUGGCCUCGUGUAUGCCCCAUAUCAGGAGAGAGGACAGCUUCAGUAAAUGUACUAGGAUCCAGAGAGGUCCUGAAAAGAUUGCAUCAGCCCUUUAGCCAUUACCUGCCUCUUGAUGAAGCGUCAGAGCAGGUGUGCAUACACCUGCCAGCACAGAAAAACCUUAACGUAAAGUUG
rnacentral:sRNA from 1 species